GACGGAGGAUGCAAGUGUUAUCCGGAAUCACUGGGCGUAAAGCGUCUGUAGGUGGUUUAAUAAGUCAACUGUUAAAUCUUGAGGCUCAACCUCAAAAUCGCAGUCGAAACUAUUAGGCUAGAGUAUAGUAGGGGUAAAGGGAAUUCCGAGUGUAGAGGUGAAAUUCGUAGAUAUUCGGAAGAACACCAGUGGCGAAGGCGACUUACUGGACACAUAUUGACGCUGAGGUGCGAAAGCGUGGGGAGCAAACAGG
rnacentral:rRNA from 1 species